rnacentral:lncRNA from 1 species
GGAAAAGAAAGCCAAAUCAAACGUGUUUCUACGUGUAGGGGAACUGUUGAGUCAUGGCCUGAACCACUGAUUGAGCACCUGGGGAAAGGACCCGGUCAGCACUGAGAGCACCCGUGAAGGCAAUUCAGCUGUGUGACAGGAAGGGAUGGAGUCUGGCUGCACCUCUCUUUGACCUCAUUUAAGGGCUGACUGCCACUGGGGAAGGAUCUCUUUCUGGAGAUCUGUCCUUGGUGAAGCUUUCCCCUGUGAACCUGGAGUCUUCUGGUACAGCCAUAAGUGAGAUGACUGACUUAAGAGGAUCACUGGCUAAAAAACCAUCAGAAAUCAAACUUCAGCAGGCAUGAAGAGUACAGUCAGUAUGAAGCAAGCAGUGGCCUCAAGGGAGCAGCAUGAAGGCAAGGCGAGCACACGGUGAUACUUUUCAGAGUCCUCUCCCAGAUUUCAGUGAUCUGCAGCAGAGUGGAGGUCUUGCAGCGUGCUUAGCUUGCUCAAAUCUAAGUGCUCUCGUCAUGGUGCUGUUUGAAAGAACUAAGCUUCCAUCACUUGAAAAAUGGUGUGAACGUGGGGGUCGGGCUGGAUGGAGAACAACAUAUAAGAAAACUCAGAGCAGUGCUGCAAUUCAGUUUAAACCUUGAUUGGAAAAGGCCAUUCAUUUGUAGUCUGCUGAGUUUAAGAAGCAGAAAAAUACAAGAAUUGCACACCGGGGAGACAGAAAAUACCUUCUCAGCCCAGCCCACCUUCUCUGCUGAAUGUGCAAAGGGACUUCAGGAGUGAUGGCAUGGAGGAUGCUCACAGCAAAUAGCUCUUGGGGAAGAGCCAGUGCACCUUGGUUUGUCCAGCAUGUGUGGAAC